AGGGGCUCCAUUAUAACAGCUAUAAUGUACUUGAUGUUGAUUAUCCGACGUGGAUAACUGUGGUAAUUCUAGAGCUAAUACAUGCACCAAAGCUCUGACUUUUGGACGAGCGCAUCUAUUAGAUUAAAACCAAUCGGGCUUCGGCCCGUCAAUUGGUGACUCUGAAUAGCUCUGGCUGAUCGCAUGGUCUUGUACCGGCGACGUAUCUAUCAAGUGUCUGCCUUAUCAACUUUCGAUGGUAGUUUAUGUGCCUACCAUGGUUGUAACGGAUAACGGAGAAUAAGGGUUCGACUCCGGAGAGGGAGCCUGAGAAACGGCUACCACAUCCAAGGAAGGCAGCAGGCGCGCAAAUUACCCACUCUCGGAAUGAGGAGGUAGUGACGAAAAAUAACGAGACCGUUCUCUUUGAGGCCGGUUAUCGGAAUGGGUACAAUUUAAACCCGUUAACGAGAAUCUAUGAGAGGGCAAGUCUGGUGCCAGCAGCCGCGGUAAUUCCAGCUCUCAAAGUGUAUAUCGUUAUUGCUGCGGUUAAAAAGCUCGUAGUUGGAUCUGCGUCUUAAGACCUGGUCCGUCCAUUGGACGAGAACUGGGAACCUAGACUUCAUUGGCCAGUUUUCCCUAUGUUACCUUAAUUGGUUGCAUAGGGUGGCGGGCAAGUUUACCUUGAAAAAAUUAAAGU
rnacentral:rRNA from 1 species